UAGGGAAUAUUGCUCAAUGGGGGAAACCCUGAAGCAGCAACGCCGCGUGGAGGAUGAAGGUUUUUCGGAUUGUAAACUCCUUUUGUUAGAGAAGAUAAUGACGGUAUCUAACGAAUAAGCACCGGCUAACUCCGUGCC
rnacentral:rRNA from 1 species